rnacentral:lncRNA from 1 species
UCUGUAAACCCUAGUUUUUGUUUUUGAUUCUCAAAGUUCUUCGUACAGACCUAACCUAGAAAUAAUAGUUUGUUGUAUAUAAAGAUUGUGUUACAAGUAGUGCACUCAAUCUAUUACUACCAUUUAUAUAAUAUGAACUAUUAGGGUUUGCAAGAUCGAGAAUAUUACCGGUUAUCGAAAAGAUUUCUUAAGGAACGAUUGAACCUCUUUAUGAGUCGAGAUUUCUUCGCCGAUCUUCUCUAACAUUAUGUUAAAAUUAAGAGAUCUUCGUAUAGUUAUUGAUGUAUCUGCAAAAAAAAUUAAAAAAAAAAUUAACAAAGAAUGUAACAGAAGAAGUGAAAAGCUCGACUAGAAUUUUCAGAAAGAGAGAAUUUUUAUUUUUUGUAUCUCAAUCUGUACAAACUAGGUAUUUAUACAUAGGGUUUUCGUAAAAAUUUUGAUAUUCCUACACCAUAAUUAUACGAUGCCGUUUCUCAAAUAUACAUACACAUAUUCACAUUCCUCUUUUAAGUGGGCUUUUCCUCUUUAUAGAAGAUUUCCAUAUGACAUUUCUUAUUUAGGCCGGAUCAUACAUAUUUACAUUCUUUUUAAGUUAGAUCAUAUAUAUUUACAUUCCACUUUAGGCUGGAUCACAUCUGCUAACUUCGGCUUUUCCUUGCGGGCUUUCAACAUGGGCUCUUCAUAUUUUUGACAUAUUUCAUGCAUAUUUUUAUUUAUAUAUAUAUAUAUAUUUCUAUAAAAUACAAUAGUAAAGGAGAAAAUGGAUGCUAGGUUGAAAAUUAUUGUUUUUUCAGAUUAGAGGAUAUAGUGAUUUUUGUAUAAUAUAACAAAUUAUAAUAAUUAAAAUUAAACUUUUCUCUUGAAUUAUGAAGUCCCACAUUAUUAAUUAAGAAACCCUGCGAAGUAAAAGAGACAAACAGAGAUGAAGCGAUGUCUUCCUUUUUUAGGUCCUUCACUACUAAUGGGUAUUUAGCUGACAGAAAGGCCGAACAAAAUUAAAAGAAAAAACAUAAAAUCCAAAAAUAUAAUUUGGGCUUCCAGUUGGUGGGUAGGCCUGGAAACCCCCACCCAUAUUAUUUUAAGCAACAUAACGACACCCUAACCUCCAGCAAUGAAGUACCAACUGGCCCAUUUUGCUGACCAUACAUUGUCCAAUAUAUAAAUAAUACAUGUAUAUAUAUAUAUAUAUAUAUAUAUAUUCACUGCCCUGAUCCUUGCUUGUAAAAUUUAUAUAGUUAAAAAAAUUUGUUCAUUCUUUUUAAAAAAUUAGUCACAAACUCAUAUAAGUAAAUAAUCUAAAUUAAGUAGAUAAUGUUGAAUAAAUUGAUGGCAUAUAUAUAUAUAUAUAUAUAUAUGUAUGUAUGUAUGUAAAAUUUUUUCCAUGUGAGAAGCAUUAGCAUGUGGGUUUUGUUUACCUGUUCUUCUUCCUGUUUUUUUUUUACUGAAAGUUACCUAAUCUUCAUUCCUCCACUUUCUCCUCUGCCACCACGUGAAGCUUUUCAGAAUCCACCACCACCAAAUUACUACUCUUAACCUAUUCUUCUUUACUUUACCUUUUGUAAGAACAAUACACAUUUUAUUUUCAUUGCUUUGCA